AAAAAUGCUAAACAACCUACUUUUUUUUAGAAAAUUUGUGCUUUUGAAAAACAGUUUUUUGUCAAACGUGAAAGCAGAGAUUUGGUGCUUUUUUGCAGCCAAAAACAUUUUUAAAAGUUCAAAUACUUUUUCACCCCUCAUAAGGACACCAACAGAAGUUGAACCAGUUGGUGAUGAUGAAGCCAUUAGCGUCUCUUCAAAAACACUAGUCGGAUGCAAUGGAAACAGUGGCAAUGUCUCGUGAUGAUUAGUGGCGCUGCCGCCAUUGUUGAAUGCUCCAUUAUAUAAGUUUUCAAUAUCAGGUGAUGGAACCAUGGUAUGAUCAUAAGCAUUUCCGUUGUAAAAUAGAGCCUUUCCAAUUUUACAAAUAGGCCUGCCUCUUCUUUUAAUUGAUCCAUUAGGGAGAAGAACCUUGGGACACUGAGGGUAAAAGCCUAGAUGAGGAUGAUGAUCAGCUUGUCGUACAAAAUAUGGACUAGCACAAACAACCGUAGAAAAACAAGAUCAAAUGUUCUAUAAUAAUACAACAAAUGGAAAUA